CGGCCACCGGGCGUGCGCUACGGUUCUACCGACCCGCCACAGCGAAGUCGGUGUGAAACCGGCGCUGUCCCGCAACUGUGAUGCCCCCGAAAGGGGGACGAGCCAGGUCGCCUGUGGCGCGGUCGCGACACGC
rnacentral:ncRNA from 1 species